rnacentral:rRNA from 1 species
UACGUAGGGGGCAAGCGUUGUCCGGAAUCAUUGGGCGUAAAGAGCGUGUAGGCGGCCCGAUAAGUCCGCUGUGAAAGUCCAGGCUCAACCCUGGGAUGCCGGUGGAUACUGUCGGGCUCGAGUCCGGAAGAGGCGAGUGGAAUUCCUGGUGUAGCGGUGAAUGCGCAGAUAUCAGGAGGAACACCAAUGGCGAAGGCAGCUCGCUGGGACGUGACUGACGCUGAGACGCGAAAGCGUGGGGAGCAAACAGG